UACGUAGGGCGCAAGCGUUAUCCGGAAUUAUUGGGCGUAAAGAGCUCGUAGGCGGUUUGUCGCGUCUGCCGUGAAAGUCCGGGGCUCAACUCCGGAUCUGCGGUGGGUACGGGCAGACUAGAGUGAUGUAGGGGAGACUGGAAUUCCUGGUGUAGCGGUGAAAUGCGCAGAUAUUGGGAGGAACACCAGCGGCGAAGGCGGCACUCUGGGCUGGUACUGACGCUGAGGAGCGAAAGCGUGGGUAGCGAACAGG
rnacentral:rRNA from 1 species